CCUACGGGUGGCAGCAGUGAGGAAUAUUGGUCAAUGGGCGCGAGCCUGAACCAGCCAAGUCGCGUGAGGGAAGACGGUCCUAUGAAUUGUAAACCUCUUUUGUCGGGGAGCAAACGACGCCACGCGUGGCGUUCCGAGAGUACCCGAAGAACAAGCAUCGGCUAACUCCGUGCCAGCAGCCGCGGUAAUACGGAGGAUGCGAGCGUUAUCCGGAUUUAUUGGGUUUAAAUGGUGCGCAGGCGGAAGAGCAAGUCAGCGGUAAAAUUGAGAGGCUCAACCUCUUCGAGCCGUUGAAACUGGUGUUCUUGAGUGAGCGAGAAGUAUGCGGAAUGCGUGGUGUAGCGGUGAAAUGCAUAGAUAUCACGCAGAACUCCGAUUGCGAAGGCAGCAUACCGGCGCGCAACUGACGCUCAUGCACGAAAGUGUGGGUAUCGAACAGGAUUAGAUACCCCUGUAGUC
rnacentral:rRNA from 1 species